rnacentral:rRNA from 1 species
UAGAGUUUGAUCCUGGCUCAGAAUCAACGCUGGCGGCGUGCCUAACACAUGCAAGUCGCACGAGAAAGGGGCUUCGGCUCUGAGUAAAGUGGCGCACGGGUGAGUAACACGUGAAUUAUCUACCUCCGAGUGGGGAAUAACUGAGAGAAAUCUUAGCUAAUACCGCAUAACACUUACGAGUCAAAGCAGCAAUGCGCUUGGAGAGGAGUUCGCGGCCGAUUAGUUAGUUGGCGGGGUAAUGGCCCACCAAGGCGAUGAUCGGUAUCCGGCCUGAGAGGGCGCACGGACACACUGGAACUGAAACACGGUCCAGACUCCUACGGGAGGCAGCAGUGGGGAAUUUUGCGCAAUGGGGGAAACCCUGACGCAGCAACGCCGCGUGGAGGAUGAAAUCCCUUGGGAUGUAAACUCCUUUCGAUAGGGAAGAUUAUGACGGUACCUAUAGAAGAAGCCCCGGCUAACUUCGUGCCAGCAGCCGCGGUAAUACGAGGGGGGCAAGCGUUGUUCGGAAUUAUUGGGCGUAAAGGGCGCGUAGGCGGUUUGACAAGUCUGAUGUGAAAUCUCUGGGCUCAACCCAGAGUCUGCAUUAGAAACUGUCGGGCUUGAGUAUGGGAGAGGUGAGUGGAAUUUCCGGUGUAGCGGUGAAAUGCGUAGAUAUCGGAAGGAACACCUGUGGCGAAAGCGGCUCACUGGACCAUAACUGACGCUGAGGCGCGAAAGCUAGGGGAGCAAACAGGAUUAGAUACCCUGGUAGUCCUAGCC